UGCCGACAACGUCGCGAGAAGUCCACUGAACCUUAUCAUUUAGAGGAAGGAGAAGUCGUAACAAGGUUUCCGUAGGUGAACCUGCGGAAGGAUCAUUGUCGAAAUCGAACGUAAGAACGACCAGCGAAUCGUCAACGCGUCUCGGACGGGUCUGCGAGCGCCGAACGUUCGGCGCUCGCGGUUCCCGUGCCGUGUCGGCGGGGCGCCUCCUCGAGGCCCGCGCUGUCCCGGCGAACAAACAACGUCAGCACGGAUCGUGCCAAGGAUCUUAUUGGAGAGAACCGUCGUCCCCCGUCCCGAGUCGUCCCCGACGGCCGGGCGGGGGACACGGGCGGUCUCUGUUCCGAGUCUGAACGACUCUCGGCAACGGAUAUCUCGGCUCUUGCAUCGAUGAAGAACGUAGCGAAAUGCGAUACUUGGUGUGAAUUGCAGAAUCCCGCGAACCAUCAAUUCUUUGAACGCAAGUUGCGCCCGAAGCCAUUCGGCCGAGGGCACGCCUGCCUGGGUGUCGUGAAUCCCCCUGCCCUUGGGCACCCGCACGAUCAUCGGCGGGGAUAUAUGCCGGGCGCAGAAUAUGGCCUCCCGUUGGGUCGGCGUACGCGUCGUGCCCUAGUGCGGCUGGCCGAAAACAAGCACUGCGGCGACGGGCUCCACGGCGUACGGUGGAUCGGUAGCGAUUGGCUGCGCCGUGGGCUCGGCAUGCGUCGCUCUUCGGACUACCGCGAGAAAUUCCCUAGUGCGAUCCCAGGUCAGGCGGGGCUACCCGCUGAGUUUAAGCAUAUCAAUAAGCGGAGGAAAAGAAACUAACGAGGAUUCCCUUAGUAGCGGCGAGCGAACCGGGAGGAGCCCAGCGUGAAAAUCGUCCGUCCUCGGCGGCCGAAUUGUAGUCUGGAGAAGCGUCCUCAGUGACGGACCGGGCCCAAGUUCACUGGAAGGUGGCGCCGGAAAGGGUGAGAGCCCCGUCGUGCCCGGACCCUG
rnacentral:rRNA from 1 species